GCGCAUUUAGUGUAGUGGUAUCAUAGUACCCUCCUACAGUAUUGAUCGGGGUUCAAAUCCCCGAAUGUGCA
rfam:Ipomoea nil DNA, scaffold: scaffold0465, cultivar: Tokyo-kokei standard.